rnacentral:rRNA from 1 species
GAAAUUUCAUUCGCACUAGCUAUAGCUAGUUUUUCUAGAAAGACAUAAAAGUGUCGAUAAGAAAACAAGUAUAAGAUAUUAAUUAUUUUAUAAAAUGUUUCUUGAUUGAUUUUUCAGAGGAUAAGCUCUGAAAAAAGUUAAGAUAUUUAUUGAUUUAGGAUGUUAUGUGGGCUUAAAAUUGGCCACCAUAGGAGUUUGUUAUAAAACAUCGAUCUUAAUAUUUAAAAUAAGUAUAUUUUAUUCUAAUUUUUUACAGAAAUAAAAGCUUUAAUUAUUAAAUGCUGUACACCUAUGCUAGGAUGAGUAUUAAAACCUUAUAUACAUAUAUAUUAAGAAAGUUUUAUAUAUUUUUCUUCAGAAAAAAUAAUGAUCAAAUUAAAUUAACUAGAAGGAACUCGGCAAAUUUAAUUGCUUCGCCUGUUUAUCAAAAACAUGGCUCUUUGCAUUUAUUUUGAUAGAGAGUCAGGCCUGCCCAGUGAAUAGUAUUUAACGGCCGCGGUACUCUGACCGUGCAAAGGUAGCAUAAUCAUUU